CCUGGUGGCUAUGGCGGGGAGUUCCUACCCGAUCCCAUACCGAACUCGGACGUCAAAACCCCCAGCGCCCAUGAUACUGUGUCUCAAGGCACGGAAAAGUAGGUCGCCGCCAGGU
rnacentral:rRNA from 2 species